GUAGCGGCGAGCGAACGGGGAGCAGCCCAGAGUCUGAAUCAGCUUGUGUGUUAGUGGAACGGUCUGGAAAGUCCGACGGUACAGGGUGAUAGUCCCGUACACCAAAAUGCACAGGCUGUGAACUCGAAGAGUAGGGCGGGACACGUGGUAUCCUGUCUGAAUAUGGGGGGACCAUCCUCCAAGGCUAAAUACUCCUGACUGACCGAUAGUGAACCAGUACCGUGAGGGAAAGGCGAAAAGAACCCCGGCGAGGGGAGUGAAAAAGAACCUGAAACCGUGUACGUACAAGCAGUGGGAGCACCUUCGGGUGUGACUGCGUACCUUUUGUAUAAUGGGUCAGCGACUUAUAUUCUGUAGCAAGGUUAACCGUAUAGGGGAGCCGCAGGGAAACCGAGUCUUAACUGGGCGUUAAGUUGCAGGGUAUAGACCCGAAACCCGGUGAUCUAGCCAUGGGCAGGUUGAAGGUUGGGUAACACUAACUGGAGGACCGAACCGACUAAUGUUGAAAAAUUAGCGGAUGACUUGUGGCUGGGGGUGAAAGGCCAAUCAAACCGGGAGAUAGCUGGUUCUCCCCGAAAGCUAUUUAGGUAGCGCCUCGUGAAUUCAUCUUCGG
rnacentral:rRNA from 1 species